ACUCCGCCGGCGUUUCCAUGGUGGCAAGUGGCCGGUUCCUUGCGGGGCUGAGCAACAAAGUAGUAUCAGUGUUCGGUGGCUCCACUGGAACUACGCAGAGCCAGACCAGCGGGACCACAGAAUGGGCUGAGGCGGCGGCGGCUGUUUGGAUAAAGUCAACAGCGGGACGUGGGGCGUGACGCCGGUCCGGCAUCCUAAGACGUGUGGUUUGAGUUGCGGGCGAGACCAGGCUUUUUUUAGGACCUUGGGCCUGAUAAGUGGGCGACUGCAGUAGUGCGGGAACCUAUUAUUUGACAGGAACAUGACAGGAAGUGUAGGGACCCCAUGCUUGAUGGAUGGUGACUUAUAGUGUGGUAGUCUCAGUGUUGAUGGGCAUGACCGAGACAGCAGGAGUACCCCUAAGUUCUGGUGAGAGGUGGAGCCUCAGAAGGACACCUUACUCAAGCUGUCUUUAGUUCCCAAAGACAAAAAGGCUCAGUGGAAAAGAUUCCUUUUUUUUUUUUAAUGUCUCUAUAUUUGAGACUGUGGGUUUAUUGUGGAUAUGCAUUAUCUAGUUUUAAUAAAUAAAAGUAUAAACGUUUAACAUUUUCCAUUUUCUUUCUUUAUUUCUAUAAAGUAGUAAAAGCCCAGCUUGAAAAUGGAGAUGUAUGAAACCCUUGGAAAAGUGGGAGAGGGAAGUUACGGAACAGUCAUGAAAUGUAAACAUAAGAAUACUGGGCAGAUAGUGGCCAUUAAGAUAUUUUAUGAGAGACCAGAACAAUCUGUCAACAAAAUUGCGAUGAGAGAAAUAAAGUUUCUAAAGAUCAUUCAUCGAGAUAUAAAACCUGAGAAUAUUUUAGUAUCCCAGUCAGGAAUUACUAAGCUCUGUGAUUUUGGUUUUGCACGAACACUAGCAGCUCCUGGGGACAUUUAUACGGACUAUGUGGCCACACGCUGGUAUAGAGCUCCCGAAUUAGUAUUAAAAGAUACUUCUUAUGGAAAACCUGUGGAUAUCUGGGCUUUGGGCUGUAUGAUCAUUGAGAUGGCCACUGGAAAUCCCUAUCUUCCUAGUAGUUCUGAUUUGGAUUUACUCCAUAAAAUUGUUUUGAAAGUGGGCAAUUUGUCACCUCACUUGCAGAAUAUCUUUUCCAAGAGCCCCAUUUUUGCUGGGGUAGUUCUUCCUCAAGUUCAACACCCCAAAAAUGCAAGAAAAAAAUAUCCAAAGCUUAAUGGAUUGUUGGCAGAUAUAGUUCAUGCUUGUUUACAAAUUGAUCCUGCUGACAGGAUAUCAUCUAGUGAUCUUUUGCAUCAUGAGUAUUUUACUAGAGAUGGAUUUAUUGAAAAGAAAUAGAAAAAGAGAAAAAGCCCAAGGAGAUCAAAGUCAGAGUUAUUAAAGUCAAAGGAGGAAGAGGAGAUAUCUCAGAACCAAAAAAGAAAGAGUAUGAAGGUGGACUUGGUCAACAGGAUGCAAAUGAAAAUGUUCAUCCUAUGUCUCCAGAUACAAAACUUGUAACCAUUGAACCACCAAACCCUAUCAAUCCCAGCACUAACUGUAAUGGCUUGAAAGAAAAUCCACAUUGCGGAGGUUCUGUGACAAUGCCACCCAUCAAUCUAACUAACAGUAAUUUGAUGGCUGCAAAUCUCAGUUCAAAUCUCUUUCACCCCAGUGUGAGGUGAGCUGUAACAGAGAAGAAACCUAAAUAAUACAACAUUCCUGUAUAAUGGUAUUUCAAAGAAUCGUGUUCAUAGUGUCUGUAUGUAAACUGAACUUGAAGAAAAUAUAUUGAAAUUAAAGCUGUAUAAUGGGCCAUUUACUGAGUGUUUCUUAUGGAUGCUGUAGAAGAAAUUAACUUUUCUUGGCCAUAUAGAUGUUUAAAUUUUCACUAAUGUCUUCUUGAAAAACCUUAUUAAAAAAAAAGACC
rnacentral:lncRNA from 1 species